rnacentral:rRNA from 1 species
GCCCUGGCUUGGGUGGUCCGCCUAAUGGCUGGUACUGCUCCGACUGGGGUUCUCCUUCUGGUGGGCCUGUAUGCACUUAAUUGUGUGUGCAGGUGCGCCAGGACUUUUACUUUGAACAAAUUAGAGUGUUUAAAGCAGGCAUACGCUUGAAUACAUUAGCAUGGAAUAAUAGAAUAGGAC